rnacentral:rRNA from 1 species
UACGUAGGGUGCAAGCGUUGUCCGGAAUUAUUGGGCGUAAAGAGCUCGUAGGCAGUCUGUCGCGUCGGAUGUGAAAAUCCAGGGCUCAACCCUGGACCUGCAUUCGAUACGGGCAGACUAGAGUUCGGUAGGGGAGACUGGAAUUCCUGGUGUAGCGGUGAAAUGCGCAGAUAUCAGGAGGAACACCGGUGGCGAAGGCGGGUCUCUGGGCCGGUACCGACGCUGAGGAGCGAAAGCGUGGGGAGCGAACAGG